UGGUCCAAGCUUUCCCAAGCCUUUAUUACAAAUUGACCAUGUGUUAAGUGUUAACACUUCCUGAUGAUAGCAUCACAAAUGAUUGGGGACCAGGCAGGAAUAAAUUCUUAAUUUCUUGAGCUUCUAAUCUUCAUCUCCCAUCAAUUUGAAAAUGCUUUCCUCUACUUAAACAACCUGUUGUGUCCCCCACUGUUACUUAAGGUGGGGCAGUAUCCAAUGAGGAGAGCCAGUUAGGAUUUGUGCGCCUUCUAAGACCAGUUCAAAAUUUCAAUACAAAAUGUUUGUGAGGGACAUUGAAAGUAUAUGGAUUAAUACAGUGAAGAACUGAAAUAUGCUUUUGGAAAUACAUGUCAUCACCAUAUUGAACUAGAUGCUAACCUUUAAAAGUUACAAAUGUAUCCAGUAUGUCCAUGGGAUGAGGAAAUGAUUAAAGAUCAAUUAGAUAUUACCAUGGUGCAGCCACAAUGAAGGAAAGUUUCAAAGAUAUGCUGAUCUGAGAAUAGGAUAAAAUUUGGAAUCAAAGGAUCUGCAGAUUAAUCAUGUACCCUAGCUGAGCUUGCAUACAUGACGGAGUUCUGAUGUUGGCACUCAUUUAAAGGAAA